GAGCAAAGGGCCAGGUGCUACACUACGCUAUCAUCUUCCCUUGCGACCAUAACUCUCUCUCACUACGUUCUGCCAGGACAAGACAGAGCCUGUGCAAUCAGUAAUACAUCCUGCCAUAAUGCCUUGGGCCAAGAGAAAAGGUCAAUACCAAUGUUUGUGGAGAAAACUACUUGAAUUUCUAAGGUCAGAUUAAUCAGAGUGGCUGUACAUAUUGGAAAAUACACAAAAAACCAAGAUGGCGUGAAAACAAGGAGUGGAUAUUGUUAGAAAACAAUUCUCCAUGAUUCUCCCACAUUUCUGCACAUCUAGCCAGCAGAAGCACCGGAAGAUCUCAUUCCAGACUAUCUUUUCAAAAAUAUCUGUAUAGCAAAGAGCCUUGCAAGACAGAGAUGAUGUCUCCUUCUGGAGCAGAGGGCAGAGUUGUUUACUGUCUGGUGUAAUACAGAUAAUGUCUCCCUAGGG